AGGGGCCGCCGCCGGGCUGCUGGGGCCCAGAGGGAAACCUGCUCCCUUGCAUCAGCCGGGCGCCCGCCGGGAAGCGCCUCCGGGCCCGCCGACCGCGUGCGCGCCUCUCCCGAGCCUCCACACCUGGGGUCUCCCCCCGGUCUAACGCAGGCGGGGCACCUGGCGGAUGAGGCGGUCUAGGGACCAGAAACUUCUCGAGGGCUUGCUCUCGAAUGAAAAAUCCUAAGCGCAUCACGAUGAAGAGCAUCUGCCGGGGGUUCAGGCUGCCUGAGCUCCAAGCCAAUUCCGCCCGCUUUCUAGAUCCUCCCCGGCCAAGCAGCUCGCCUCGCGAUGUCUUCGUGUUGUGGACACAACAGACCAUUUCACGGGCCUGUGUAAAGCUCUCAUGAGACAGUCUGUAUGCAGCGUUCACAGCCCCAGUCACAGGAGAGCUGCUCCCUCGGCGCUGGCUGCCGCCCCCACCUGUACCACUCGGGACUCUGAGAGGUCUGCAGCGAGAGGUGCCCUCCCGCCAGCCGCGCCCCGGGAAAGCACUGACCUUGCGUAUUACUCCAUAGAGAGUUCCCUGGCAUCACCUCGUGACGGAACACUCGGCUCUGCCUCCCUUCUCGGGGGCCCAUAAACCUCCAAAUAUUGUAGGAAGGCUCCCUCUUUCCCGGAGGACACAUGGGGGUUCCCGCUGGCUCCCUGGCCUUGCUAGGAUGGUCACCACAGGGUUGCGGACUUGUCACAGCCUGCAUUUCUACAAGUGGACUUGCUGAGUCAGAAUGGGUGAAUUUUUAAUUUCAACAGAUGUUGCCAAAUUGCUGGGGGCCUCUGAGGCCACAAGACUUAGUUGGCUGUGGCCCGGCCAGAGGCAGAGGUGAAGUGCUUGGGGCCAGAGAGCAGGGAUUGAGGAAGAGCCGCAGAUGCUGUGCAGGUGUCCUCAGUCCCCAGGCAAGUGAGGAUCCAGUCAGUAGGUGGCUAGAGAUGAAGUUCAUUCGUUUAUUCGGCAACAGAGGACCCUGGGUGUCUGUUCAGUGGCGGGCAUUGUACCAGGCAGCAGCGAACACGGUACACAAGAUUCCUACUUAGGUGGCCUAAUUUCCUAAAACACGAUUUGGGGGUAUGGGAGUGAAAGCCCGUGGGAUAUUGGAGCUUUCCUAACUGCUGAUGCAACCUUGAAAGGGGUCUUAUGACAGGUGUGUGGCCCAGUCAGCACCCACCCAAAUCCUGCCUCUCCAGCAAGGCCCACCUCCUCCCCAAGGCCAGAUAGCAUACUCUUGCCUCUUCUGCCAGGUGACCUUGACUCCGCAUUCUCACUGUACGUCACUCUAGCAUGAACGCCCAUGUGGACCCAUCUGUCUCCUGUGCUGGGGAGGCACAGCAGACGUGGGCCUUUGGAACUGGCUUUCCAGGCUCCGGCACUAACUGACACAUGAAUGUGCACAGGCGGGCUCACCCCUCCCAGCUUUGGUUCCCUCCUUUCUGGAAGGGGAACGGUAUCUGCCCAGCUGAGAGAUGGUAAGACUUAGAAGAUGCAGCGCCUACGGGGAAGGCUUCAGUGGACGUGAGCGGCAUCCUUGGCCAGCCAGGCAAAGCGCCUCUCGCCUUUCUGGAACGUCAGCAUGCAGUGAGUCCUGGCACCAGGGCACCAGGCAGUAGGGGCCCUACACGAAGAGAGAGAGGUGAAGAAAAUCCAGGCAAAGUUCUCACGGUUGCCAUUCCUCUCCAUCUGGAAAGUAGCCCCAAACCCCGUUCCACCUCAACACCUGACUGAUGGACCCAUUCUCAGGUCUCAGACACACCGAGCAUGUAAUGUGGUCAUUGUUCAACGUCCCCUUCCCCAGAAAGAAGAAACCUUUGGUGCCUACGGUCCCAGCUGUCCCCCGGCCCCCUGCCCUCAGGAUGUGCCACGGGCAUCUGAAAUAGUGAAUGGAAUCAUCAGGCCUUCAGCUACAGGUAAAUCCAAGUAACCACAAGCUCCAGCCAGAGCCACCAUUACUCAGCAGUUGCAACAUCUGUUCUGUCGUGUUUGCAAGGGUUACAGAUGCAGGUCUGAGGGCUGGCUACCAACUCCCUGCCGCCCUGAAAUGAGAAGGAAUGCGGCUCUUCCCCACCUGACGGAGUCCUCAGGUGUGGCAGCAGAUGGGGCAUGGGGGGCCUCAGAACCGCUGGGUGAGUGAGUAAAAAAAAACAAAGCACAGGAAUUAGAUCUUAGGCUGCAUGUUCUAGAUUCACCAACUUCCUGACUCUUAGAAACAUACCACUUAAGAUGUUGCCGUGGCCUGAAUAGUUUGAACAACAUCACACAGAGAUUCAGGUCGGGAAGCCAGGCAGACCCAGGUUCAAAUCCAGGCUGUGCCACUAAUUGGCUCCGUGACCUUGGGAAAGUGAUUUUACCGCUUCGCACCUCAGUUUCCUAAUGUGUAAAGGGGAAUCAUACCUACCUCAGAGAGACGGUGGGAAAAUUCAAAGUGUAUAUAAAAUGCCUGGAAUGCUUGCUGAUAUAAAACUGAUGUUAGUAAAUGCAAACUAUUUUUAAAAUUAUUUCCA